AAAGGAAUAGACGGGGGCCCGCACAAGCGGAGGAGCAUGUGGUUUAAUUCGAUGAUACGCGAGGAACCUUACCCGGGCUUGAACGUGAGACGAAUAUAUAAGAGAUUAUAUAGCCUUCGGGCGUCUUGCGAGGUGCUGCAUGGUUGUCGUCAGCUCGUGCCGUGAGGUGUUAGGUUAAGUCCUGCAACGAGCGCAACCCCUACACUUAGUUGCCAGCAUGUCAUGAUGGGGACUCUAAGAGAACUGCCUACGCAAGUAGAGAGGAAGGUGGGGAUGACGUCAAAUCAGCACGGCCCUUAUGUCCGGGGCUACACACGUGCUACAAUGGUAUGUACAGAGGGCAGCCACCUGGUGACAGGGAGCAAAUCCUCAAAACAUAUCUCAGUUCGGAUUGGAGUCUGUAACUCGACUCUAUGAAGUCGGAUUCGCUAGUAAUCGCACAUCAGCCAUGGUGCGGUGAAUACGUUCCCGGGCCUUGUACACACCGCCCGU
rnacentral:rRNA from 1 species